rnacentral:siRNA from 1 species
UAAAAUAAAAUGGUGUUCGGGA